rnacentral:lncRNA from 1 species
GUUACUUCCGUGACUUCAGUCUUUGCUCUCCUACCCUCUCACUUACUAGCUGAGCGAUCUGGGGGAGGUUAUCUAACCUUCCUGAGCCUCGUAUUCCUCAUACCGAAAACGGAGGUAACCAGAGUAACUACAUCCAAAAAUUGAGAGAACUGAAUGAGAUAAAUAAGGCGGGGUGUUUUUAACACGUCCUGCACAUGAAGACAAUACCAUGAUCAUGAAAUCACUAGAGAAAUCUGUCGGGGAAAGUCUGUGAGGAUAGUCUCAUCUGUAACACAUGUGUCCUCCAGAAAAAAAGUAUAUGGCUUUCAGACUAAAUUUUACUCCUUAUCCAAAUGGAAAGAAUAUCUAAAGAGACAAAGUGUAAUAAUCCAAGAAUCUUCUAUUGUGAGAAUAAUGGAGAUUGACAUUGUGAAGUAUAUAGAAAAACAUAAAAGACCACUGGAUCAACAUCACACAUGGAAUAUAUUUGUAAAGAGACAGACAGAAUUAUGUCAUACCCAGAGGGGAUAAUAAUCAGAGGUGAAGAAAAGGACCAGCUGACUUUCCCAAGGCCACCUGGUUUUUUUUAGUUUCUGAAUGCAGAUCUGAAGUGUUACUAUGAUCAUGUCUGGCUUGCUGUGGUGUUUUUCUU